rnacentral:rRNA from 1 species
GACGAACCGUGCAAACGUUAUUCGGAAUCACUGGGCCUAAAGGGCGCGUAGGCGGCUUUCUAAGUCAGGGGUGAAAUCCGGCAGCUCAACUGUCGCAGUGCCUUUGACACUGGAGAGCUCGAGGGAGGUAGGGGUCUGUGGAACUUCCGGUGGAGCGGUGAAAUGCGUUGAUAUCGGAAGGAACGCCGGUGGCGAAAGCGACGGACUGGAUCUCUUCUGACGCUGAGGCGCGAAAGCCAGGGGAGCAAACGGG